GCUUACGGCCAUACUACCCUGAAAAUGCCCGAUCUCGUCUGAUCUCGGAAGCCAAGCAGGGUCAGGCCUUGUCAGUACUUGGAUGGGAGACCGCCUGGGAAUACCAGGUGCCGUAAGCU
ensembl:rRNA 5S_rRNA 5S ribosomal RNA